rnacentral:lncRNA from 1 species
UAAUUUUCAAAAUUUUCAUUUACAGUAUCAGUAGUUGUUCGUAUGCGCAGCCCUUAAGAUCGCCUUCCACUGCCAUCCAUGGAAGCGUUUCGAGUCAUAGCAGCGCUAUAUCAAUUUAAUACAUGCUCACUCAUACUAUAUAUACAUUUUUGUGUUAUAUAUGUUUUUGUGUGAGUGUGUUUUAUGGGUUUCACCUUAAGGGUUUUCCUUUUGGGGAACCCGUUUAUCCCAUCUGGUGUAAUUGGCAUUUCAAAUUGAUUUGGAUCCAUAAUUCUCAUAUAGUUUUCGAACUCCGUCUGAUUUUGUAAAUUAUAGAGUUUUAUAGAUCUAAAAUUACAUUACGAAUGCCUCCGUUAAGAUGGGAGACACCCUUCGAAUUUUACCAUUUCUGAUUCUUUUGAUUAUUGAUUGUUUGUGGCAAGGAUGAUGAUACAAUUAGAUGCCUGAGAGGUGAAUAUCUCUUUGAAUUUAAUUAACGAGGCUUAUUGAUAUCCUGACUUGCCGAUGUUUACAAAAAAAUUCUCUCUCUCUCUCUGGUACUUGUAUUUUGGUACUGAUUUCUGGUGGCAGGGAUGAUGAAAUCAUAAUACAAUUAGAGGGUAAAAUGAAAGACCCUUCUCCUCCUAGUGGCCAGGCUAAUGCAACACAAAGACCCUUCUCCUCCUAGUGGCCAGGCUAAUGCAACACAAAGACCCUUCUCCUCCUAGUGGCCAGGCUAGUGCAACUCGCAACUAGUAAGAAUUCGUUAUCGAGGACCGAUGCCGCACCAAAACUGGUAAGUUGAGAUCCAAAAUGGCAAAAAGGCACAGGUUGGGGACAAAGUUACGAAUCAAUAGAUUGGAUCAAAAUAGAAGAUGCGAAGUUUUGAAAACAUUUAUUACUUAAAAAGGGCCAAUAUUUAGCCCAUUGCUUUCACGAAGUCCGAAUCCAGAAUAAACCCUAAUUCACAUUCAUCUUUCCCAUCCAUCUCUAUUUAUUCGUCGCUCGUCUUCUUUGUUUGAAAACCCUAGCUCUGCUAGGUUCUCUUUUGGUGUGUAUAUGAUUUUGUUUUUCCAUUGAAUUGUGUUAUGCGUCUGAUAGAAGACAAGAAAUUAUUGCGAGCAAGUUCAGCUUCUUGACUGGAUCCCGGUAAAAUCAACGAUCCAGCCAAUUAUUUUACUCAUAACUUGCGAUAAUAAUUUGCCAGUAUCACUCUCCUGAAUUUGUUACUGAAAUUUCAGGCCCUUUAUCCUACUGGCACAUUUUUUCUAAUUUUCUGCCUUAUAUUUUCUUUAUCCAAAAUUUGUGAGAUGUGAUAUUAGAAUUCGUAAUUUUUGGUAGAUUGUAGAUGAUUUGGUGUUACUGGUUGAAUUGAAUUGUGAGCAAACGCACUCUGUCCCUAAACCGUCCAGCAAUGGGCUAAUGUUUUGAGGCAAUUUCUUCGUUUGCGAAAUUAAUAAUGUUCCAAUUUACUCGUCCAUUCGAUCUGUAUUUCGUGAUCUCUAUGGGCACAUGACUGGACUACAUAUAAGAGAAUCAUUUUUAUCACAUUUUUUUACUGUUGCAGAGUAAAUUCCUGACAGCGAGACCAAUUUUACCCGUCAACCCAAUUACCUAGUAUUCAAAAAAUUAUUGUGAUUUUUUUGCCAUUAAAGGGGUAUAAUUGAAAAAUAAAGACAACUUUUAAUAGAUUUUUAUUAAGUCGGUGUCAGAAAUUUUGAAUAAACUGUGCAAUAGUAAAAAAAUGUACACCAGUGAGAUGAAAAUCAUCAUUUUUUUGCCAUUAAAGGGGUAUAAUUGAAAAAAAAAA